UUCCAUAAGCGGAGGAAAAGAAUCCAACAGGGUAUUGCCUUAGUAACGGCGAGUGAAGCGGCAAAAGCUCAAAUUUGAAAUCUGGCACCUUCGGUGUCCGAGUUGUAAUUUGAAGAAGGUAACUUUGGAGUUGGCUCUUGUCUAUGUUCCUUGGAACAGGACGUCACAGAGGGUGAGAAUCCCGUGCGAUGAGAUGCCCAAUUCUAUGUAAAGUGCUUUCGAAGAGUCGAGUUGUUUGGGAAUGCAGCUCUAAGUGGGUGGUAAAUUCCAUCUAAAGCUAAAUAUUGGCGAGAGACCGAUAGCGAACAAGUACAGUGAUGGAAAGAUGAAAAGAACUUUGAAAAGAGAGUGAAAAAGUACGUGAAAUUGUUGAAAGGGAAGGGCUUGAGAUCAGACUUGGUAUUUUGCGAUCCUUUCCUUCUUGGUUGGGUUCCUCGCAGCUUACUGGGCCAGCAUCGGUUUGGAUGGUAGGAUAAUGACUAAGGAAUGUGGCUCUACUUCGGUGGAGUGUUAUAGCCCUUGGUUGAUACUGCCUGUCUAGACCGAGGACUGCGUCUUUUGACUAGGAUGUUGGCAUAAUGAUCUUAAGCCACCCGUCUUGAAAC
rnacentral:rRNA from 1 species